rnacentral:lncRNA from 1 species
UUUUGAGUCAGACUCACUAUCAUUGGUUGGUUAAAUAACAAAAUGCAAGUUCAGAAACUGCACAUGAUAGGAAUUCAACCUUAAUAUAUCAACCUUAAUAUAUGCUAUAUGCAAGAGUCAUGUUGACUACUAAUCCUCAGUUUGCUCAUUGGCAAAGUGGAAAUUUCUCUCUCUCCUCUCCCCAUUUGAUCAUCAGGACUCUGAGACUGAGCAAGUGGGGCUGAUUUUCAGGUGGGGAACAAUGCAGGCUGGAAGUUAUAUGUUUGAAUCCAGGUUCUGCCACUGGUUAACCAUAGGGGAAAUUAGCUACUUCCAGAAUAUCUUUGACCCUGAUUUCCCUCCUAUAAUGGGGCUCUUUCCAUUCCAGGUUACUGUGAGGACUGAAUGGGAUCCUGUCUGGAUGAGAAGCUGGCGUGCAACACAAUUUUUCCUUCACAGCCUGCCUUUAGCUGUUUUGGGCUACAGGAGUGAAUUUUCCCUGGAGGUCUAAAGCAUGAGACAGUUUGGGGGUAACUUUCACAUGACACCCAUGGACAUGCAAAGCAGCAAUCAAUGUAUGGGGCAGCAUUUGGUUCAAAAUGAAGUGGCGCUUCCCAGAUGGCAUGACAGCACAGCACCAAUUUGUUUGCAGCCAUUCUUCC